rnacentral:lncRNA from 1 species
GGCUGAACAGCAGAGCUCCUACAGACAGCGAGCUGCUCCCAGCCCUGAGCAACCAGUGGUGAUGGUGAGAGGGGUCCAGUGAACUCUCAGGCUCUCCAAUUGCUUCCAACAGAAAGCCAAAGCUGCAAUACCACACAGCAUGGGCAGCCAGCUUCCUCUGACUGCGUCUGACUUCACCACGGUUAGCCCUCGUUCAGGACAUGCAAAGCAGGCCUUCCAUUGGCACUGCACACAUGCAUAUGCAACGGAUUUGAACCUGGAGCACAAAGUGCUCCCUUCCAGCAGCAGCAGAAGGGCUGCAGACAAUUUCAUGGAGCUGAGCAGGACAGCAAUGAAUGCUGCAAUGUUCUGCAGUGACCCCUCAGCCAUCUGGGGGUGGUUUGGGCCCAUGGGAGGCAGAGGAAGCUCUGUAAAGCAAAGGUUUACUUUCCAUGCUGUUACCAUCCCUUUUGCCUCUCCAUAAGAAGCAUCUGCUGUAGUUUGGCAGCUAUUUUAGUGUAAGUGGUGGCGUUGUUUUUCUCUGUGACCCAUCGUGAAAGGCUACAGAAGCACAAGAAUUUUGCGAACAGCUGUGCUGCCUGAAGUCAGCACUAUCCCAGCUGCUCAGCCUCGCUCACAAGCUAAGAGUUCCACAGCUCUGCUGGCAGAUGGGAUCGCACGAGUGCUGCCCCCUGAACACGACGUGUUGGGUUAUGGUUAUGCAGUGCUUCAGUGCUGAGCUGGGAGAGCAGAGCCUGACCAGCUCCAGCUAACACAGCGAGGCCAAGAGAAUGUCCAUAAAUGGUUGCUGUCCUCAUCUGCAAACAAACAUUUCUUUAGUUUUUGGAUGAUGUACAAAUACUGCAGAAACAAAACAACAUUUCAAAGCAGAUCAUAUUUCAUGGUUAAGUAAGAAUCUGAGAGCUCCAAAAAUUGAACCAUGGUUACAACACUGCCUGGUGCUGUGCCUUUGUGCGUUACGAAGCUCUGGGUUCAUCAGCAGUCAGAGUUCCUGGUGUUGGUACAAGGGAGGAGUUUGGCAUGUCAAAGUUUUGUGCGUGCCGCGAUCAGACAGAAUGAAUCCACCAUUCCCCAUUCUGUAGUGCUCUUCUGCCUGCUCUUCUGUCUAGCUGGAAUAGAUCUGUGCUGUUUGUUCAGCUGACACCAAGGUUCCUUCUAAUUUGAAACAGGCACAGCAGCAACAACGAUUUAAAAACAAACAACAACAAAAAAAAAAAACACCAAAAAAACCAACAACCACCACCAAACAUUCCCUCCAACCCUGUAAUCUUCUUGGCUGUAAUUUGAUUCUACUUUUUGUUCCAAUUUUUGAGAGUUUUGUAGUAUCACCCACAGUUCCGUGCAGGCUGUAUGUAAAUACAGAAAGAUUGGAGUGGGAGUACUGGAGGAUGAUGGAAGAGAGAACCGCUGACAUGAAGGUACUCAAAGUCAGUCCCGUCAGAACUGCUGGAUCUCCUGUCAUGGUGUGCUAAAUAGGCGUGAUGUGU